GACGAACGCUGGCGGCGUGCCUAAUACAUGCAAGUCGAACGCUUUUUCUUUCACCGGAGCCUGCUCCAUCGAAAGAAAAAGAGUGGCGAACGAGUGAGUAACACGUGGGUAACCUGCCCAUCAGAAGGGGAUAACACUUGGAAACAGGUGCUAAUACCGUAUAACACUAUUUUCCGCAUGGAAGAAAGUUGAAAGGCGCUUUUGCGUCAUUGAUGGAUGGACCCCCGGUGCAUUAGCUAGUUGGUGAGGUAACGGCUCACCAAGGCAACGAUGCAUAGCCGACCUGAGAGGGUGAUCGGCCACACUGGGACUGAGACACGGCCCAGACUCCUACGGGAGGCAGCAGUAGGGAAUCUUCGGCAAUGGACGAAAGUCUGACCGAGCAACGCCGCGUGAGUGAAGAAGGUUUUCGGAUCGUAAAACUCUGUUGUUAGAGAAGAACAAGGAUGAGAGUAGAACGUUCAUCCCUUGACGGUAUCUAACCAGAAAGCCACGGCUAACUACGUGCCAGCCGCCGCAGUAA
rnacentral:rRNA from 1 species